rnacentral:rRNA from 1 species
AUGUGUAUGGCUGUUGGUCUGCAUUGCACAUGGAAGAGUGGAGGGCUUGCGAUGGAAAAUGUCGAGGAGGGGUGCGCCCCCCCAACCGCCGAUGUCACAGACUUUGAGGUCGCUGCCCACGGGGAAAACAGCAUGCCCGCCGCCCGUUGGGGAAACCGCAUGCCCAAGAUCCUCGACGCAGCGGACGAGAUCGAGGUCCUUUGUGCAGCGAAGGGCAACUUGGAGGAGCAGCAACUACAGACCACGCAUCUCCCGCACACGCUGACACGCUAUGAGGCCGCGCGUAGCAGCCUGCAGCCUCACCGCCGCCGAUAUGUGGCGGGUAGCGAUACAAGACGGAAGCAGUGA